AGAGUUUGAUCCUGGCUCAGGAUGAACGCUGGCGGCGUGCCUAACACAUGCAAGUCGAACGGACUUACAUUGAAGCCUAGCGAUAUGUAAGUUAGUGGCGGACGGGUGAGUAACGCGUGGGUAACCUGCCUUGUACUGGGGGACAACAGUUGGAAACGACUGCUAAUACCGCAUAAGCGCACAGCUUCGCAUGAAGCAGUGUGAAAAACUCCGGUGGUACAAGAUGGACCCGCGUCUGAUUAGCUGGUUGGUGAGGUAACGGCCCACCAAGGCGACGAUCAGUAGCCGGCCUGAGAGGGUGAACGGCCACAUUGGGACUGAGACACGGCCCAAACUCCUACGGGAGGCAGCAGUGGGGGAUAUUGCACAAUGGGCGAAAGCCUGAUGCAGCAACGCCGCGUGAGGGAAGAAGGUUUUCGGAUUGUAAACCUCUGUCCUCGGUGACGAAACAAAUGACGGUAGCCGAGGAGGAAGCCACGGCUAACUACGUGCCAGCAGCCGCGGUAAUACGUAGGUGGCAAGCGUUGUCCGGAAUUACUGGGUGUAAAGGGAGCGCAGGCGGGGAAGCAAGUCAGCGGUGAAAUACAUGGGCUUAACCCAUGAACUGCCGUUGAAACUGUUUUUCUUGAGUGAAGUAGAGGCAGGCGGAAUUCCGAGUGUAGCGGUGAAAUGCGUAGAUAUUCGGAGGAACACCAGUGGCGAAGGCGGCCUGCUGGGCUUUUACUGACGCUGAGGCUCGAAAGUGUGGGGAGCAAACAGGAUUAGAUACCCUGGUAGUCCACACUGUAAACGAUGAUUGCUAGGUU
rnacentral:rRNA from 1 species